rnacentral:rRNA from 1 species
UACAGAGGGGGCGGAGCGUUGUUCGGAAUUACUGGGCUUAAAGCGUGUGUAGGCGGAUUGGUAAGUACCUUGUGAAAUCCCAACAGCUUACUGUGGAACUGCUCGGUAUACUGCUGAUCUUGAGCCACUCAGGGGCUACCGGAACAAAUGGUGGAGCGGUGAAAUGCGUAGAUAUCAUUUGGAACGCCAAUGGUGAAAAACGGUAGCUGGGGGGGUGUGCUGACGCUGGAGACACGAAAAGCCAGGGGGGAGCAAAACGGGG